UAGUGGUGAUAGCGGAGAGGAAACACCCGUUCCCAUCCCGAACACGGAAGUUAAGCUCUCCAGCGCCGAUGGUAGUUGGGGCCAGCGCCCCUGCAAGAGUAGGUCGCUGCUA
rnacentral:rRNA from 1 species